GCGCGAUACAGGGUGACAGCCCCGUACACAAAAAUGCACAUACUGUGAGCUCGAUGAGUAGGGCGGGACACGUGGUAUCCUGUCUGAAUAUGGGGGGACCAUCCUCCAAGGCUAAAUACUCCUGACUGACCGAUAGUGAACCAGUACCGUGAGGGAAAGGCGAAAAGAACCCCGGCGAGGGGAGUGAAAAAGAACCUGAAACCGUGUACGUACAAGCAGUGGGAGCCUCUUAAUGGGGUGACUGCGUACCUUUUGUAUAAUGGGUCAGCGACUUAUAUUCUGUAGCAAGGUUAACCGAAUAGGGGAGCCGAAGGGAAACCGAGUCUUAACUGGGCGUUAAGUUGCAGGGUAUAGACCCGAAACCCGGUGAUCUAGCCAUGGGCAGGUUGAAGGUUGGGUAACACUAACUGGAGGACCGAACCGACUAAUGUUGAAAAAUUAGCGGAUGACUUGUGGCUGGGGGUGAAAGGCCAAUCAAACCGGGAGAUAGCUGGUUCUCCCCGAAAGCUAUUUAGGUAGCGCCUCGUGAAUUCAUCUCCGGGGGUAGAGCACUGUUUCGGCAAGGGGGUCAUCCCGACUUACCAACCCGAUGCAAACUGCGAAUACCGGAGAAUGUUAUCACGGGAGACACACGGCGGGUGCUAACGUCCGUCGUGAAGAGGGAAACAACCCAGACCGCCAGCUAAGGUCCCAAAGUCAUGGUUAAGUGGGAAACGAUGUGGGAAGGCCCAGACAGCCAGGAUGUUGGCUUAGAAGCAGCCAUCAUUUAAAGAAAGCGUAAUAGCUCACUGGUCGAGUCGGCCUGCGCGGAAGAUGUAACGGGGCUAAACCAUGCACCGAAGCUGCGGCAGCGACACUAUGUGUUGUUGGGUAGGGGAGCGUUCUGUAAGCCUGUGAAGGUGUACUGUGAGGUAUGCUGGAGGUAUCAGAAGUGC
rnacentral:rRNA from 1 species